AGUGAAACCAUUUAGGGACAACUUGCACAAAGUGAGACUUCAGUGGAGAGAUUAAAUCUGUGAUCAGUUUAACCAUCCUACCAACUUCCACCCUCAGGCCUUACCAUCUUACUGGAAUUUGCAUCUUUUCACAACAUUUUGGCAAAGCUAGCUAGGUGCCUAACACAUUAGCUAACAAGCUAACGGAAGGUAGCUAUCAGACAUCAUGACGCUGCCACAAAUUAAUGUUCAUGUCCAUUCUAGUAUUCUAUGAAGAGUGUCUUCUUUCAACUAAAAUAACACAAGGCCCUGAAGAUUAAUGUUUUACAACGUUUGACAUGUUUGAACGAACCUACAUGCGGGAGAAUCGCAUUUUAUCCGGAACUUCAGCCCUGCGCUUGGAGAGAGCCAUAGGACGCGCUACCAACAUCAGGCUAAUGGAACGUGAAGUAUGGACUUUUUGACCGAAAAUACAUCUGUUGUGGACCUGGGAUGCUUUUUGAUGAAGACAACUAAAGGACCUGAGCCCUAGGACCAUGCCUCAGGACUACCUGGCAUGAUGACUGCUUGCUGUCCCCAGUCCACCUGGCCGUGCUGCUGCUCCAGUUUCAACUGUUCUGCCUGCGGCUAUGGAACCCUGACCUGUUCACCGGACGUGCUUGUUGCACCCUCGACAACUACUAUGAUUAUUAUUAUUUGACCAUGCUGGUCAUUUAUGAACAUUUUAACAUCUUGACCAUGUUCUGUUAUAAUAUCCACCCGGCACAGCCAGAAGAGGACUGGCCACCCCUCAUAGCCUGGUUCCUCUCUAGGUUUCUUCCUAGGUUUUUGGCCUUUCUAGGGAGUUUUUCCUAGGGAGUUUUUCCUAGCCACCGUGCUUCUUUCACAUGCAUUGCUUGCUGUUUGGGGUUUUAGGCUGGGUUUCUGUACAGCACUUUGAGAUAUCAGCUGAUGUACGAAGGGCUAUAUAAAUACAUUUGAUUUGAUUUGAUUUUGAUUUGGUCAUUUAUGAGGAGAAUCAUUAUAACAGUUGAUAAUAUAAAAAAAGAAGACAUCUAGGCUAAUUAAAAUGGGUCGGAUGCAGACCAAGCAGUUACAGUUUGAACCCGAUGCAUGGCCCAACAAUUGGCCGUGUCAUCACACAGUUCCAUGAUUAAUGCAGGCAGGAGAUGAGGGUACAGCCUACUAUUGUACACUAUUCUGCCUAUUACAAUUCUAUGUACACUAAUCUGUACUCUAGACAUUACCAUGGGUUGGAAACAAGGUUUUCCAUCCAUUCCCAUCCCCCCUAGCAACCAGGGAUGCU
rnacentral:lncRNA from 1 species